rnacentral:rRNA from 1 species
UACGGGGGGGGCAAGCGUUGUUCGGAAUUACUGGGCGUAAAGCGCGUGUAGGCGGCUUUGCAAGUCGGGUGUGAAAGCCCUCAGCUCAACUGAGGAAGUGCGCCCGAAACUGCAGAGCUUGAGUGCCGGAGAGGGUGGCGGAAUUCCCCAAGUAGAGGUGAAAUUCGUAGAUAUGGGGAGGAACACCGGUGGCGAAGGCGGCCACCUGGACGGUAACUGACGCUGAGACGCGAAAGCGUGGGUAGCAAACAGG